UACGGAGGGUGCAAGCGUUAAUCGGAAUUACUGGGCGUAAAGCGCGCGUAGGCGGUUUUUAAGUCGGAUGUGAAAGCCCCGGGCUCAACCUGGGAACUGCAUCCGAUACUGGAAGACUAGAAUGCGGGAGAGGGAGGUAGAAUUCCAUGUGUAGCAGUGAAAUGCGUAGAUAUAUGGAGGAAUACCAGUGGCGAAGGCGGCCUCCUGGCUCGACAUUGACGCUGAGGUGCGAAAGCGUGGGGAGCAAACAGG
rnacentral:rRNA from 1 species